UACGAAGGGGGCUAGCGUUGUUCGGAAUCACUGGGCGUAAAGGGCGCGUAGGCGGCCGAUCAAGUCGGGGGUGAAAGCCUGUGGCUCAACCACAGAAUUGCCUUCGAUACUGUUUGGCUUGAGACCGGAAGAGGUUAGUGGAACUGCGAGUGUAGAGGUGAAAUUCGUAGAUAUUCGCAAGAACACCAGUGGCGAAGGCGGCUGACUGGUCCGGUUCUGACGCUGAGGCGCGAAAGCUGGGGGAGCAAACGGG
rnacentral:rRNA from 1 species